rnacentral:rRNA from 1 species
AACGAACGCUGGCGGCAUGCCUAACACAUGCAAGUCGAACGAGACCUUCGGGCCUAGUGGCGCACGGGUGCGUACCGAGUGGGAACCUGCACUUAGGUUCGGAAUAACUCACCGAAAGAGAUGCUCAUAAAGGAUAAUGUAUUCGGAGCAAGGAUUUAUCGCCUUUGGAUGGGCCUGCGUUGGUUUAGGUUGUUGGGAGGGUACAAGCCUACCAAGGCGACGAUCCAUAGCUGGUCUGUGAGCAGGAUCAGCGACACUGGGACAGCGACACGGCCCAUACGCCUACGAGAGGCAGCAGUGGGUAAUAUUGGACAAGGGGCCAAAGCCAGAUCCAGCAAGGCCGCGAGGGUGAUGUAGGCCUUGGGAUUGUAAAUCUCUUUUACCCGGGAGUAUAAUGACAUUACCGGUAGAAUAAGCUCCGGCUAACACCGG